GAGUUUGAUUCUGGCUCAGGAUGAACGCUGGCGGCGUGCUUAACACAUGCAAGUCGAACGGGCGAAUUAUAUCGGAGGUCUUCGGGCCGAAGAGAUAAUAAGCUAGUGGCGGACGGGUGCGUAACGUGUGGGUAAUCUGCCUUUGUCAUAGGAAUAACUGCUUGAAAAAGUAGCUAAUACCAAAUAACAUAUCGUAUAGGCAUCUAUAAGAUAUCAAAGAGAAAUCGGACAAAGAUGAGCCCGCAUCUGAUUAGCUGGUUGGUAGGGUAAAAGCCUACCAAGGCGACGAUCAGUAGCCGGCCUGAGAGGGUGAACGGCCACAUUGGAACUGAGACACGGUCCAAACUCCUACGGGAGGCAGCAGUGGGGAAUAUUGCACAAUGGGGGGAACCCUGAUGCAGCAACGCCGCGUGAGUGAAGAAGGCUUUCGAGUCGUAAAACUCUGUUGUAAGGGAAGAUAAUGACGUACCUAAAAGAAGCCCCG
rnacentral:rRNA from 1 species